CCCACAUGAUUGUGUGUGGGCUGAGGGUGAAUCCAAGAAGGACUUUGUGUUGUGGUCAGUACAGGCUUUGGUCCAGGAGAGACAACAAUACUUUCAGUACUCUUUGGUUCUGCCCCAGAGGAGCUCAACACAGAGAAUUGCCUGGAACAAGAAACUGGUGAGAGAAGCUGCAGCCUGUUGAGACUCCACAAGAUGAAAGAUAUGAAAAGAGGACAUAUGCAUGAAUGCCUGCAUGGAGAACCACCCUUGCUGCUGCUCCCACUCUAAUGAUCAUGCCCAUUAUUAACUGAGGGAUGGCUGUGGGCCUUGUCUUUGCAUUACACGGACCAAGAACACUUCGCAGGACUCAGAGAGUAACACUGAACAAUGCAGUUUACUUACAUCUUUUUCUGUUUGACACAAGACAGUUAUUGGUUACCCUUGGGACAUCAAAAUGAUCAAGGCAGUAGAUACAGUGAGUAUCUGCUAAGUAUUUGCUGAGACUCUGGUAUGAUUCGUGUAAGUCUCAGGAUAGUUAUCUGAAUGAUGUCCCCAUGGCAGUGGACUCCUGCACAUUCACAGUCCUGGAAGGAGCCUGUCCACAUUGGCAUUCUGGAAGUCCAUAAAAGACAAACGCAUAUGCAGUCCCCGAGAAAGCAUUGUUGUAAACAAAUCUGCACUAGAUGGAAAUUCUUGUUAUGCGGUGCUGGCAUGCAUGGAAGCGAACCUGAAAGGAAGUAGCGUGUACGACUGGGGACACGUUUCCUGGAAGCACACCCCAUUAGAUAAAGUGUCGUAUACUCUUUGAUAAAGUAAGGCUCCUGGACGAGAUGUUUUACGGGUACCCUGAGCUCAGUGAAAUGCUUUCGGAAAGACACUCAGCAGAGUGGGCACCACAAGGUUAGGAGAAGCAGCUUCUGCUCGUCAUAACUUCGGCAAAUGUUUACACAUCAGUAAUGAAAAAUAUUCUCUUGGCGAUUUCAGGCUUGUUACUAUGGAUGUUGUUUGCUAACAUUGACUAUUUUUCCUAACUGCUUAUAGAAACUCCAGGCUGUCACCCAUCUGUUCUCUCAUCAGAGUAGUUUUGGGCCAGCAACUAUUUCAGACAUUUCUACAAUUUCAGAUGUCUCACUCUGCCUAUGACUGUAUGUUGUACUUGAGGACCGGACGCACAGAGUUCCGUGCAAAUAGCAAGCAUUCAGCUCCAACUCUCCUCCUUGUGGUAACAAUAUGAAAGAAAGAGAUAGUAUCGGAAUUAUUUUCGUUCAAUACAGCCAUUGUAAAAUGUGUGUAUAUU